AUUGAACGCUGGCGGCAUGCUUUACACAUGCAAGUCGAACGGCAGCGCGGGCUUCGGCCUGGCGGCGAGUGGCGAACGGGUGAGUAAUACAUCGGAACGUGCCCAGUAGUGGGGGAUAGCUCGGCGAAAGCCGGAUUAAUACCGCAUACGACCUGAGGGUGAAAGCGGGGGAUCUUCGGACCUCGCGCUAUUGGAGCGGCCGAUGGCAGAUUAGCUAGUUGGUGGGGUAAAGGCCUACCAAGGCGACGAUCUGUAGCUGGUCUGAGAGGACGACCAGUCACACUGGGACUGAGACACGGCCCAGACUCCUACGGGAGGCAGCAGUGGGGAAUUUUGGACAAUGGGCGAAAGCCUGAUCCAGCAAUGCCGCGUGUGUGAUGAAGGCCUUCGGGUUGUAAAGCACUUUUGGCGGGAACGAAAAGGACUGUGCCAAUACCACGGUUCGAUGACGGUACCCGCAGAAUAAGCACCGGCUAACUACGUG
rnacentral:rRNA from 1 species